rnacentral:lncRNA from 1 species
AAUCAACAGAACGUGGUUCAAUAUCGUCAUUUUUCAUUUAUGUCGAUAAAUACCAUAUAAUUGAAACAUCGUCAAUGAUAAUCUAUAUGUUACCAAACUAGUAUACUGGACUAAGAACUUCAAGUUUCGGGAUAAUUUGAACUAAUCUCAUAAGAAGAAAAUGGUUGAGACAGCGAUCGAGUAUGGAUUUGUUUUCUACCAUAUUCUUCUUCUUCUAGGGAAGUGAAUCCUACGAACU